UACGUAGGGUGCAAGCGUUUAAUCGGAAUUACUGGGCGUAAAGCGUGCGCAGGCGGUUUUGUAAGUCUGACGUGAAAUCCCCCGGGCUCAACCUGGGAAUUGCGUUUGGAGACUGCAAGGCUGGAGUCUGGCAGAGGGGGGGUAGAAUUCCACGUGUAGCAGUGAAAUGCGUAGAGAUGUGGAGGAACACCGAUGGCGAAGGCAGCCCCCUGGGUCAAGACUGACGCUCAUGCACGAAAGCGUGGGGGAGCAAACAGG
rnacentral:rRNA from 1 species